rnacentral:rRNA from 1 species
AUUGAACGCUGGCGGCAGGCUUAACACAUGCAAGUCGAACGGUAGCAGGAGAAAGCUUGCUUUCUUGCUGACGAGUGGCGGACGGGUGAGUAAUGCUUGGGAAUCUGGCUUAUGGAGGGGGAUAACGACGGGAAACUGUCGCUAAUACCGCGUAGUAUCGGAAGAUGAAAGUGCGGGACCGCAAGGCCGCAUGCCAUAAGAUGAGCCCAAGUGGGAUUAGGUAGUUGGUGGGGUAAAGGCCUACCAAGCCUGCGAUCUCUAGCUGGUCUGAGAGGAUGGCCAGCCACACUGGAACUGAGACACGGUCCAGACUCCUACGGGAGGCAGCAGCGGGGAAUAUUGCGCAAUGGGGGGAACCCUGACGCAGCCAUGCCGCGUGAAUGAAGAAGGCCUUCGGGUUGUAAAGUUCUUUCGGUAUUGAGGAAGGAGUGUAUAUUAAUAGCAUACAUUAUUGACGUUAAAUACAGAAGAAGCACCGGCUAACUCCGUG